rnacentral:tRNA from 1 species
CGGAACAUAGCUCAAUGGUAGAGCAGCUGGCUUAUAUCCAGCGUGGUGGUAGUUCGAUUCUAUCUGUUCCGA